AUGAGGAAAUUAAAUCUUCAUCAGAGUACAAAACAAAUUCUGGCCACAAAAUAGAGCGAAACACCAACGUCAAAGACCUGGGAGUGAUUAUGUCGGAGGAUCUCACCUUCAAGGACCAUAACAUUGUAUCAAUCGCAUCUGCUAGAAAAAUGACAGGAUGGAUAAUGAGAACCUUCAAAACUAGGGAGGCCAAGCCCAUGAUGACACUCUUCAGGUCACUUGUUCUAUCUAGGCUGGAAUAUUGCUGCACUCUAACAGCACCUUUCAAGGCAGGUGAAAUUGCCGACCUAGAAAAUGUACAGAGAACUUUCACGGCGCGCAUAACGGAGAUAAAACACCUCAAUUACUGGGAGCGCUUGAGGUUUCUAAACCUGUAUUCCCUGGAACGCAGGAGGGAGAGAUACAUGAUUAUAUACACCUGGAAAAUCCUAGAGGGACUAGUACCGAACUUGCACACGAAAAUCACUCGCUACGAAAGCAAAAGACUUGGCAGACGAUGCACCAUCCCCCCAAUGAAAAGCAGGGGUGUCACUAGCACGUUAAGAGACCAUACAAUAAGUGUCAGGGGCCCGAGACUGUUCAACUGCCUCCCAGCACACAUAAGGGGGAUUACCAACAGACCCCUGGCAGUCUUCAAGCUGGCACUGGACAAGCACCUAAAGUCAGUUCCUGAUCAGCCGGGCUGUGGCUCGUACGUUGGUUUGCGUGCAGCCAGCAGCAACAGCCUGGUUGAUCAGGCGCUGAUCCACCAGGAGGCCUGGUCACAGACCGGGCCGCGGGGGCGUUGACCCCCGAAACUCUCUCCAGGUAAACUCCAGGAAUGCCCGGUCUGUGGUGCCGAUGACCAUUCUAAUACGUCUUGCAAUCGACCUCCCUCUUGCCUUAAUUGUCAUGAGGCUCACCGUUCAUACUCUCGCCGUUGCCAAGUCUACUUAAAUGAGCGGUAAAUUCGUUACCUCAAAGAGGCAGCAGGUCUCCCUUAUGCCAUGGCAGUUUCUCAUCUCCGCCUCCAAGGGAGACUACCUCCAGUUUCUUAUUCCCGUGUUUCAAAACGUUCCCCCACUUCCGGGGUCCCAUCUUCUGAAGCCUCCUCUGUGGUUACCUCUCCCAUAGUCACUCCUGUAUCUAAUUCUUUUGCUGUCCUGGGCUCAGACGUCCCUACUUCAACGCCUCAGUCUGUUCUCGCUUCUUCGUGUUCUCCCUCACAAGCCUUGGUAUCGACGAGAUCUCGUUGGCAGCAACGAGAUCUCGUUGCUGCCAACACCCGUUGGCAGCAACGUUGGUCUACUAUGCUCGGCAACAAACUUCAAUCUAUUAAACUGAGUAUAGGUUACUGGCCGUCUUCUUAUCACCAGUGUUGAGGUUGGGAGACUACUCUCUCCCAUCUUCGCAUUGGCCAUACUCAUCUUACUCAUGGAUAUCUCAUGGAGAGGUGCCCUGCUCCUCUCUGUGAGAAUUGCCAAGCUUCAUUAUCAGUCAGCCACAUUCUGUUGGACUGCCCACUUUAUCAACGAGCACGCAGAAUUUACCUCCGUCGUCGUCUUCGCUCCACUGCUCUCUGUUUACCUUCCCUUCUCGCUGAUGGACCCACCUUUCAUCUGGACUCUCUCAUUGACUUUUUGACAACAACUGACUUACUUCACAAACUCUGAUACCUUCAGCCCUUUCUACCUCAAUCUCUUGCUACCCUCUACCCCCGCACUAUCCCCUGCCCCACUGUUUUCUGUAACCUACUGAUCAUCCCUCCCCCUGUCUGCCAUCCAAUACCCUCGCUUCCUUCCCUACCCUGCAGCGCUGUAUAGCCCUUGUGGCUUAGUGCUUCUUUUUUAUUAUAAUAAUAAUUAUCAUCAUUAUUUUAUGCCUUGACCUAGGAAAUGUACAGAGAACCUUCACGGCACGCAUAACGGAGAUAAAACACCUCAAUUACUGGGAGCGCUUGAGGUUCCUGAACCUGUAUUCCCUGGAAUGCAGGCGGGAGAGAUACAUGGUUAUAUACACCUGGAAAAUCCUAGAGGGACUAGUACCGAACUUGCACACGAAAAUCACUCACUACGAAAGCAAAAGACUUGGCAGACGAUGCAACAUCCCCCCAAUGAAAAGCAGGGGUGUCACUAGCACGUUAAGAGACCAUACAAUAAGUGUCAGGGGCCCGAGACUGUUCAACUGCCUCCCAGCAUACAUAAGGGGGAUUACCAAUAGACCCCUGGCAGUCUUCAAGCUGGCAAUGGACAAGCACCUAAAGUCGGUACCUGACCAGCCGGCUGUGGCUCGUACGUUGGAUUGCGUUCAGCCAGCAGUAACAGCCUGGUUGAUCAGGCUCUGAUCUACCAGGAGGCCUGGUCACAGACCGGGCCGCGGGGGCGUUGACCCCCGGAACUCUUUCCAGGUUGAAUGGUAUUUUUGGUCAGGUGAGUUGCAGCCUUAAUGACCCUCUUCCAGCCGAUACCUGUGAGGCAAUUAGGUUAAGUUAGGCAAGAUAGACGAGGCAACAGAACAGUGUUUCCUGAUGCAGGUCUUAGUCAUAUGACCCACAGCUGGAACUUUUGGUCAUCUGACCGAGGCCUUCCACUGGCUUAUCACUCCACCCCUUGAAACAUUAAUGAAGACCAUUUAAUUUUAUUCCAACUAACAUCUAGUUGUCAGAGCUGGAAGAGUUGUUGAUGCCAGACAACAGUGUGAGCUCACCCGGUACUUGUUAUCCGAUAAGAUUACAAGAUAACCAAGCUAUGAUAACAGGAUUCAGUAGAGUAUAACGUUUUUUUCAACAUGAAAAUAAGUAGGCUGUGGGAAGGUAGUGGAUGCCACAGCUCGUGUGUAUCGCUAAUUACACAAAGUGCGCUCAAACCGUAUGGGUUUAUGGCAGAAAGUUGUGGGAUAAACAAAUUUAUUCAGGUACACAUGAAUACAGUUACAUAAAUUAUCAUACAUAGUAACAAAUAUGUUAAUUACCCCACCAGGACAACCCAAAAAGUCAGUGACUUAUUUCCAUUGGGCUCCUUAUAAUAAGUUAUUAUUUAAAUCUUAAACUUUCAACACGGGGGAUAAAAAUAAGAGAUGAUCGUCCAUGUAGAUUCAAACAAUAAAAUAUCUUAUUCUGGCACUUUCUCCAUAUGCUAUUAUUCUACAUGUUGUAUCACUCGUAGGAGGCCCCGAGAUAUGGUUUCGGGGCGUUGACCCCCAAAACUUUCUCCAGGUAUAAUACACAAGACAGUCACAACUAUAGGAGUACCGACUUGAGGCAUACGAGUCAAACUCCAUAUAUAACUGGUGUUAUAUACCGACAAGGUUAUUAAUAUUGUUUAAUAUGUGGUGUAUGGUAUAUUACAUUGAAGUCUUUUCAACCAUCAGGAAUUUAAGUCAUUUCACAGCCGUUCUCGAGAUGUGAGAAAUUCCAUAUAUUUACCCAAAUUGUCCCAGAACUGCCCUCAAGGGAGGUUCCUUGACGAUGGUGAGGGGCUCUUGAUCACAGGGAAUUAGAUCUGUGCUCCAAUUGCCUGAAUUAAGCGUGAAUACCAUCACACAACCCCCACAGGCACUGUUUAAUCCCUACGGGUUUAGCCCUCCCUAUAAAAAUAAUAAUGUCCCAGAGCUAGAGAAGGGUAGACCUUAUCUCAGUCUUCAAGAGUCGAUAAAACACUCGAUCGUAAUCUGCGUUGUAGCUCCGCGAUUACACCAGUAUCACUACGACCCUUGGUAUAUACACAUACACGUACUUUUCUCCAGGGUAUAUCCCUCGUAUAUACCACAUCAUCACUUUCAGCCUUCCAAGUGUAUUAGCCAAAACAGUGGAGUCUUGUUUGGUGUGUGGUUCAAGUGGUCGGAAGCGACGUUAAGUGAGCAUAAGUAGUGAUCUGGAACCCGUGUGAACCACCGAAUUAUUAACGUAUUCCAAUGGUACCGAACUUUGAGGUGACAGCAACAGCCUGAGUGUUGAGAGAGAAUGGCGUACGGUAAAGGUCAGGGAAGAAUGUCUUACGGCAGAGGUCAAGGCACCAUGGAGGAAUAUUUGGACUUGUUGCAGUAUCUGUUGUACAUCUUCAAUACCAUCUUCUUCGUAAGUACUAUUAAUGGCCUUUCUUGUUGACUAGCAGGGUUAGGUUAGGUUAGGUAAGUUAAAGUAAGGUUGGAUUAGGUUAGGCUAGAUUAGGCAAGGUUGGGUUAGGUUAGGUACCUGGAGUUUACCUGGAGAGAGUUCCGGGGGUCAACGCCCCCGCAGCCCGGUCUGUGACCAGGCGGCCUGGUGGAUCAGAGCCUGAUCAACCAGGCUGUUACUGCUGGCUGCACGCAAUCCAACGUACGAGCCACAGCCCGGCUGGUCAGGUACCAACUUUAGGUGCUUGUCCAGUGCCUGCUUGAAGACAGCCAGGGGUCUAUUGGUAAUCCCCCUUAUGUAUGCUGGGAGGCAGUUGAACAGUCUUGGGCCCCUGACACUUAUUGUAUUGUCUCUUAACGUGCUAGUGACACCCCUGCUUUUCCUUUUGGGGAUGUUGCAUCGUCUG